rnacentral:rRNA from 1 species
AUACAGAGGGUGCGAGCGUUAAUCGGAUUUACUGGGCGUAAAGCGCGCGUAGGUGGUUAAUUAAGUCAAAUGUGAAAUCCCCGAGCUUAACUUGGGAAUUGCAUUCGAUACUGGUUAGCUAGAGUAUGGGAGAGGAUGGUAGAAUUCCAGGUGUAGCGGUGAAAUGCGUAGAGAUCUGGAGGAAUACCGAUGGCGAAGGCAGCCAUCUGGCCUAAUACUGACACUGAGGUGCGAAAGCAGGGGGAGCAAACAGGAUUAGAUACCCUGGUAGUCCAUGCCGUAAACGAUGUCUACUAGCCGUUGGGGGAUUUGAUCCUUUAGUGGCGCAGCUAACGCGAUAAGUAGACCGCCUGGGGAGUACGGUCGCAAGACUAAAACUCAAAGGAAUUGACGGGG